GAGACGCCACUGGUCGGGACACUAAGCCACACCCCUGCCCCAUGAAGCCACACCCUUGUUUCCCAAAAUCAACUGCCUAUUCAGCAGCAUGUGCUUACUGAGAGCGUAUGGGCUACACUUGCCGCACCGGGUGUGAAAUGCUGCAUACAUUGAUGAAUUAAUUGAUAAAGAAACACAACAGUGCAGUAACUGCAGCCAGAACAGACACAUAACAAGCAGCGGAGAGACACACACACAGCGCUCCGAAAUGAAACAUUUAAAUACGGCUAUGCCCGGCGUGCAAGACGACUUUCUUCUUUUCUUCCAACAUGUUCCUUGACAUAAAUUAAACAACUUUUACACG